GGGGGAGGGACACAUUCCUCAGCUCGGCUCUCUCUGCAUGCUUCUACCGGGAGGGGUUUUAAGUUCACAGGAUGGCCAGCAGGAGCAACAUCACUCAAACACGCUUAUGAGGAAACAUUAUAAGGAAACUGUGAUGCACUGCUGAACUUUUGGGAACUAGAGAGCAUGAAUCAGAAGCGCUACUGGUCCUUGAAAAAGAUACGCCUCGAGAAAGAACAUCAAGUACUGGCCCAAUAGAACCGUGAAGGGGACUGCCACUGAUUGCCUUUAUUGUCUUGACAUCCUAUAUUGCGGCGGGUGUUGUGUAUGCGUCGCGAUGUGCAUUGUGUCUUGGGCCACCAGGUUGCAGGGGCUCACCCCCUACCUGCUCAGUCAUUGGUUCAUGCUGUGAAGGAGUGGAGUGUAGUGGAAUUCCAGGGUCACAGCCUGAACCAAUGGGUGGGCUAUGUGAGUGUGUGAGUGCGGCAGCGCGGCGGUACGAAGGGGGAGGGACACAUUCCUCAGCUCGGCUCUCUCUGCGCGCUGCUACCGGGAGGGGGGGUAACCAUGAUGAUCAUGUACCUCUCCUAGGAGGAGGAAGAGAUUCUGAGAGACUGGUACAGUUCAGCAUGAAGGUGCAGGAGGUAUCCUAUGAAAGUGCAUAAACACCUGUAGGAAGAGUGCAAAGAGGAUGGAGCCAAAUUUUUUUCAGUGGCAUUCGGUGUCAGGAUAGGAGGCACUAGGCACAAGGAGGAAUACUAGAGGUUCUCUGGAAAAAAAAAAAAAGAAAAAAGAAAAAAAAGAAAGAAAGAAAAAUAAUAAUAAUAAUAAAUACUUCCUUACUGUGCAUGUGACUGAAUGCUUGGAGCAGAUUACACAGAGAGAUUGUAAAGUCUCACUGCUUGCAGGGAUAUCUUCAAAAGCCACUUAGACAAUGUCCUGGGCAACCUGCUGUAGGCAUCCCUGUUUGAGCAGCCGAGUCGGAUCAGAUGGCCUCUAGAGGACCCUUCCAACCUCAACCAUUCUGUGAUUCUGUGAUUUUUUUCUUUCCCUGGAUUAAGUGUUUCAGAUUGUCAGUAUGUUGAGAG
rnacentral:lncRNA from 1 species